GAUGAACGCUGACAGAAUGCUUAACACAUGCAAGUCAACUGUGGCGGACGGGUGAGUAAAGCGUAAAGAACUUGCCUCAUAGUUAGGGACAACAUUUGGAAACGAAUGCUCAUACCUGAUACUGUGAGAGAGCUUUGCGUCCCAUUAGCUAGUUGGAGAGGUAACGGCUCACCAAGGCGAUGAUGGGUAGCCGACCUGUGAUGGUGAUCGGCCACAUGGGGACUGGUACACUGCCGUUAGUCCUACGGGAGGCAUGGGUGGGGAUUGUUGAACAAUGGACCAAAAUCUGAUCCAGCAAUUCUGUGUGCACGAUGAAGUUUUCGGAAUGUAAAGUGCUUUCAGUUGGGAAGCGGUACCAACAGAAGAAGUGACGGCUAAAUACGUGCCAGCAGCCGCGGUAAUAC
rnacentral:rRNA from 1 species